UCGGAAUGCGCAGCUACCAUGCAAGUCGAGGGGUAUAGAGAGCUUGCUUUCUCGAGACCGGCGGAUGGGUGAGUAACGCGUAUGCAACCUACCUUUUACAGGGGAAUAGCCCGGACAAAUUCGGAUUAAUGCUCCAUGGUUUAUAUGAACGGCAUCGUUUGUAUAAUAAAGAUUUAUCGGUAAAAGAUGGGCAUGCGUAUCAUUAGCUAGUUGGUGUGGUAACGGCAUACCAAGGCUACGAUGAUUAGGGGUCCUGAGAGGGAGAUCCCCCACACUGGUACUGAGACACGGACCAGACUCCUACGGGAGGCGCAGUGAGGAAUAUUGGUCAAUGGAGGCAACUCUGAACCAUCCAUGCCGCGUGCAGGAUGACGGUCCUAUGGAUUGUAAACUGCUUUUGUACGGGAAGAAAUGUAAUUACGUGUAAUUAUUUGACGGUACCGUAAGAAUAAGGAUCGGCUAACUCCGUGCCACCAGCCGCGGUAAUACGGAGGAUCCGAGCGUUAUCCGGAAUUAUUGGGUUUAAAGGGUUCGUACGCGGUUGAGUAAUUCAUUGGUGAAAUCUUAUAGCUUAACUACAAAAUUGCCGUUGAUACUGCUUGACUUGAAUACUAUGGACGUAAUUAGAAUAGGUAAUGUACCGGUGAAGUGCUUAGAUAUAACA
rnacentral:rRNA from 1 species